rnacentral:rRNA from 1 species
GACGAACGCUGGCGGCGUGCUUAACACAUGCAAGUCGAACGGAAAGGCCCUGCUUUUGUGGGGUGCUCGAGUGGCGAACGGGUGAGUAACACGUGAGUAACCUGCCCUUGACUUUGGGAUAACUUCAGGAAACUGGGGCUAAUACCUGAUAGGAUCUCCUGCUGCAUGGUGGGGGUUGGAAAGUUUCGGCGGUUGGGGAUGGUCUCGCGGCUUAUCAGCUUGUUGGUGUGGUAGUGGCUUACCAAGGCUUUGACGGGUAGCCGGCCUGAGAGGGUGACCGGCCACAUUGGGACUGAGAUACGGCCCAGACUCCUACGGGAGGCAGCAGUGGGGAAUAUUGCAAAAUGGGCGGAAGCCUGAUGCAGCAACGCCGCGUGCGGGAUGACGGCCUUCGGGUUGUAAACCGCUUUCGCCUGUGACGAAGCGUGAGUGACGGUAAUGGGUAAAGAAGCACCGGCUAACUACGUG